rnacentral:rRNA from 1 species
AUUGAACGCUGGCGGCAGGCCUAACACAUGCAAGUCGAGCGGAUGAGUGGAGCUUGCUCCAUGAUUCAGCGGCGGACGGGUGAGUAAUGCCUAGGAAUCUGCCUGGUAGUGGGGGACAACGUUUCGAAAGGAACGCUAAUACCGCAUACGUCCUACGGGAGAAAGUGGGGGAUCUUCGGACCUCACGCUAUCAGAUGAGCCUAGGUCGGAUUAGCUAGUUGGGGAGGUAAAGGCUCACCAAGGGGACGAUCCGUAACUGGUCUGAGAGGAUGAUCAGUCACACUGGAACUGAGACACGGUCCAGACUCCUACGGGAGGCAGCAGUGGGGAAUAUUGGACAAUGGGCGAAAGCCUGAUCCAGCCAUGCCGCGUGUGUGAAGAAGGUCUUCGGAUUGUAAAGCACUUUAAGUUGGGAGGAAGGGCAGUAAGUUAAUACCUUGCUGUUUUGACGUUACCAACAGAAUAAGCACCGGCUAACUUCGUGCCAGCCGCCGCCGUAAAAC